rnacentral:ncRNA from 1 species
CAAGGAAACAAGAGUUUGUUGAGCUUGAUUCUAAUCUGGCACUGUGAAGAGACAGGAGAGGUGUAAAAUAAGUGAGAGGCCUCUGGGCUGCUGAUGAAAUACCACUACUAAUCAUUUUUUUCACUUUACGUGGUGAGGUGAGGUGGGGCAAGCCCCGAAGUGCUCUUGCUCCUGGCUCCAAAUGUCCGGUGUGUGCUGGGCACAAAGAGCUCCAGGGGCAGUGUCAGCUGGGGAGUUUGACUGGGCCAAUACACCUGUCAAACUAUAACACUGAUGUCCUAAAGUGAGGUCAGGAAGGACAGACAUCUCCUGUAGACCAAAAGGGCAAAAAAACUCACUUGAUCUUGAUUUGAAGUAUGAAUACAGACUGUGAAAGCAGGGCCUCAUGAUUCUUCUGACUUUUUGUGUUUUAAGCAGGAGGUGUCAGAAAAGUUACCACAGGGAUAACUGGCUUGAGAUGUCCCAGGCAUUCAUAGCAACAUGAUAUUUUGAGGAUAGGCAGCGACUUCCCUGCUUUCCCCUG